rnacentral:rRNA from 1 species
CAAAGGGGGCUUCGGCUCUCGCCUUUAGAUUGGCCCAAGUGGGAUUAGCUAGUUGGUGAGGUAAUGGCUCACCAAGGCAACGAUCCCUAGCUGGUUUGAGAGGAUGAUCAGCCACACUGGGACUGAGACACGGCCCAGACUCUACGGGAGGCAGCAGUGGGGAAUAUUGCACAAUGGGCGCAAGCCUGAUGCAGCCAUGCCGCGUGUGUGAAGAAGGCCUUCGGGUUGUAAAGCACUUUCAGUCAGGAGGAAAGGUUAGUAGUUAAUACCUGCUAGCUGUGACGUUACUGACAGAAGAAGCACCGGCUAACUCCGUGCCAGCAGCCGCGGUAAUACGGAGGGUGCGAGCGUUAAUCGGAAUUACUGGGCGUAAAGCGUACGCAGGCGGUUUGUUAAGCGAGAUGUGAAAGCCCCGGGCUCAACCUGGGAACUGCAUUUCGAACUGGCAAACUAGAGUGUGAUAGAGGGUGGUAGAAUUUCAGGUGUAGCGGUGAAAUGCGUAGAGAUCUGAAGGAAUACCGAUGGCGAAGGCAGCGCACCUGGGUCAACACUGACGCUCAUGUACGAAAGCGUGGGGAGCAAACAGGAUUAGAUAACCCUGGUAGUCCACGCCGUAAACGAUGUCUACUAGAAGCUCGGAGCCUCGGCUCUGUUUUUCAAAGCUAACGCAUUAAGUAGACCGCCUGGGGAGUACGGCCGCAAGGUUAAAACUCAAAUGAAUUGACGGGGGCCCGCACAAGCGGUGGAGCAUGUGGUUUAAUUCGAUGCAACGCGAAGAACCUUACCUACACUUGACAUACAGAGAACUUACCAGAGAUGGUUUGGUGCCUUCGGGAACUCUGAUACAGGUGCUGCAUGGCUGUCGUCAGCUCGUGUUGUGAGAUGUUGGGUUAAGUCCCGCAACGAGCGCAACCCCUAUCCUUAGUUGCUAGCAGGUAAUGCUGAGAACUCUAAGGAGACUGCCGGUGAUAAACCGGAGGAAGGUGGGGACGACGUCAAGUCAUCAUGGCCCUUACGUGUAGGGCUACACACGUGCUACAAUGGCGCAUACAGAGUGCUGCGAACUCGCGAGAGUAAGCGAAUCACUUAAAGUGCGUCGUAGUCCGGAUUGCAGUCUGCAACUCGACUCCGUGAAGUCGGAAUCGCUAGUAAUCGCGUAUCAGAAUGAUGCGGUGAAUACGUUCCCGGGCCUUGUACACACCGCCCGUCACACCAUGGGGAGUGGG